CUUUAGAAGCCAUGUUGUUACUAUCUCCCUUAUGAUGAGGCAUUAUUGCUACCUGGUGACUAGGAAAUCUACACUAUCCUGAAGGAGGCAUUCUAUGAAUGACAGCUCCUCCUUAGUUCCACUUUAUUUGGAAGUUGCAAGUGCUCAGCACCUCUGAAAACCAGGCUUCUUAUUUAGACUGCCCUGGAAGGGGAGAGACUUUCAAGUGACCUGGCUGGAAGCUGAGUCGGAGGAAGAGGCAAGUCACUGCAGAGGUGGAGCAGCUGUCAGCAGGAGAUACCCAGCAGGGAGAAAGCUGCUACACCACACCUAGCCACAAGAAGGUGGCAGCAUCACUCUUACAAUGUAAACUGAAAAAGAAAAAUUUUGCCGAGUUC